rnacentral:rRNA from 1 species
CGUUUAAUUCGAAGCAACGCGAAGAACCUUACCAGGUCUUGACAUCCCGAUGCUAUUUCUAGAGAUAGAAAGUUACUUCGGUACAUCGGUGACAGGUGGUGCAUGGUUGUCGUCAGCUCGUGUCGUGAGAUGUUGGGUUAAGUCCCGCAACGAGCGCAACCCCUAUCUUUAGUUGCCAUCAUUGAGUUGGGCACUCUAAAGAGACUGCCGGUGUCAAACCGGAGGAAGGUGGGGAUGACGUCAAGUCCUCAUGGCCUUUAUGACCAGGGCUACACACGUACUACAAUGGCCGGUACAAAGGGCAGCGACACAGCGAUGUGAAGCGAAUCCCGAAAGGCCGGUCUCAGUCCGGAUUGGAGUCUGCAACUCGACUCCAUGAAGUUGGAAUCGCUAGUAAUCGCGGAUCAGCACGCCGCGGUGAAUACGUUCCCGGGCCUU